CCUACGGGGGGCAGCAGUGGGGGAUAUUGCACAAUGGGGGGAACCCUGAUGCAGCGACGCCGCGUGGGUGAAGAAGCGCCUCGGCGCGUAAAGCCCUGUCAGCAGGGAAGAAAAUGACGGUACCUGAAGAAGAAGUCCCGGCUAACUACGUGCCAGCAGCCGCGGUAAUACGUAGGGGGCAAGCGUUAUCCGGAUUUACUGGGUGUAAAGGGGGCGCAGACGGCGAUGCAAGCCAGGAGUGAAAGCCCGGGGCUCAACCCCGGGACUGCUCUUGGAACUGCGUGGCUGGAGUGCAGGAGGGGCAGGCGGAAGUCCUGGUGUAGCGGUGAAAGGCGGAGAUAUCAGGAGGAACACCGGUGGCGAAGGCGGCCUGCUGGACUGCAACUGACGUUGAGGCCCGAAAGCGUGGGGAGCAAACAGGAUUAGAUACCCUUGUAGUC
rnacentral:rRNA from 1 species